ACUUCUGUACACAUGUACUUUGCUCAGAGUCCACGCUCUGCUCUUGAAGUCACACUGCCAACAGCAGCCACCAUGACCUACCUUGGACUAUGCUCUCUGCUGCUGCAGCCUGUCUUUGCACAGCAGAACCAAGCAAGUCCUCCUUAGACCUAACACACUCCUGGUAAGUAUGCAGAUAAACAUUCUUACCUACAGGCUACAUUGUAGGGCAAUAAAAAUGUGAGUAUGAUUUAUAGUUUUUCACUUUAAACAAACUGAUGUUUUAAAUUCAUUCUGUUUCUAGGAAUCUGGUCUAUGGAAAUGCACACAAUUAUGGCCUUCUGUUAUUUGCAUUAGCAAAAGAGGAUGUCAGAAAGUACCUGCAACAGUUAUUAAGUGAGGAAGAUAGAUGGUUGUACAGUAAGAGGCCCAUCCUCAACUGUGGUGUGAACAAAUCACACACUGGUAGGAUGACAGGAAGCGGACUGAGUGUGAACCCUGACCCCAGGCAGAACAGGCACCCCCUCAUGCUCUUCAGCCAGCAUGACCUUCAUUCCCGCUGGGAAGUGGUGUGCUCACCUGCUGCGGCCCCUGGCCCUCCGUGCAGGAAGCAGGCCUCUUCUGCUCAAGGAUCUUUGCUGCUCCCUUGCUCUUCUUGGAGCAACCCUAGCUAGAGUCCCUUUCUCUCUGUUGCCUGGAAACAGCUCUAUCUGAAGCACCAUCCUGUCACAAGUGCCCAGGUGGCAAUAGUGACCUGAGUAGCACAGCCGGGUUCCCAGUUUCACUUAUUCACCAAGCUGUAGCUCAGGGGACACCUUCUCCACAAGUUUACAGAGCAGACAAGUGAUUCUAAUACACUUCAAGCCUGCCCAAGGUUUUCAUGAAGACUCCCACCUAACAUAGCUUAGCACUGAACUGCACUGCCAUGCUGGCCCCUCAGGCCAUCUCCCUUGGGUCAUGCUUUACUCAGAAAGCAGAGGGCAGGCACCUUCUCCUCUCAUGACUCUCAAUGGGCAUUAAGAAGCAGCAGUCAUUGGGGUGUGUGGCACUCAGAGGAGCCUGACAGAGACUGUCUCACGAAUGAUCUUGCCAGUGAGAGUGCAUAAACUAAGUACAUGCAAGGAGUGGCUCACACCAGGUACUGAUUCCCAACUAAAUUCCCAGUGAUGGACAGUGAGUAUGGGUUGUAGUGUUCCUUGGGUUUCCCUAGAUGUUUCUAAUUGUACAAGCAGAGGACAGAUAGCUGUAUUAAAACCAUGAUAAACAUGAGUUCUAAGGGUACCAAUACUUCUUUGUGUUUCUAGGUAAGGUGUCUCUAAUAGAGUAAGUAGGAGACAACUGCAUGAAAAGGAAGGCUGUGAUAAGCUACACAAGUGUCAGGAUCUUCUUUGCAUAGAUCCAAGAUCUACAAGCCAGUGCUCGAGUACUCACUGGCCCUGUGCCUAGAAGGCCACUCAGUCCUCUGUCCUGAAGGCAGGUAUUUGAGACUUGGGUACUUGCCCUGAAGGACUUCGGCACAGGAGCCCUUUUGUUUUUCCCUGGGACAUCAGCACAUUCACUAAAACAGACUGGACCAACCAGACAGGUGCCACGUUCAAGGCUAGGGAACUCUCUUCAGGUCAGCUCUGAACAGCUUCCUUUUUCCUAGAUGGUAGGAUUUUAGGUGCUGGUGUGAGCCCUGGCUGAGGUGAGCACUUAACCUAAGAGGGAAGUGCUGGGAGGAGCGUCCUCGGGUGAGAAGGGCUGUAUCCUGCUGCUUGUCCACCCAGCAGGUGGGGCCAGCAUCAGUAUGGUCACUCAAGUGGAACUAGCUGCCCUUCCUCUGACUAGCCAGCGACAUUAGUGGGGAACAAUAUGGAAGCUCAAAGGCCCCACUAUGCCUGUGGGCAGCAGAAAGCAGGCAGCACCAUGCCAUCACCACUAAAGGGAGGGGCUGUUUAAACCUGCCUUCAGAAACUCUCUGCAUGCCAGGCAGAGAGCUCUCUCACUUGGGUCCAAUGGCAGCCCUCUGAGGGAACUGAGUCAUGGAAUAGGACCUAGCCAGCCACUCAAGCCCCACAUCUCUAAGUGGCUGGGCCUGGCAUGUGCGUCACCACUCAGCAGGACAGCAUAAGGGAAUUGGGUUGUGCUGAGACACAUUGUUAGAGGUGUCAGAGUGCAGGGCGUGUGUUAGGGUCGGGGGCUUACCUGCUCCCUGACAUACCUGUAACAUCCAGGGGUCGCUUUUUUAGAGCAGUGGCUACAGGGCCAUCUUUCCUGCGCAACAGGGGGCUGCUCCGUCUCUCAGCUACUUUCUGCUUAAGCCUCGACCGUAAUUUCAGGUUAGGUUCAGAAGCUGUAUGGAAGGAGAUGUCGUUAUAGCCAGGCAGACACAGCUGGGGUCAAGGGCAUCACACUGGUGGUUUAAAAUAUGCACAGCUGGUAAAUCUCCACUUAAGUAUGGAUUGGAAGGCAGGGCUCCUCUGUCAGUGGGUACAAGCCCCUGUUAGCCCUAUUAGUGGAUGCAGUGGGUGACUGCCAGGGCAAUAUGUGUGCUUCCAUUCUACCCUGAGGACAAUACCAUAGUGUCACUGAUUUACUGGGCAUAGCAAGAACCUACUGAAGCAUGACAGUUACUCAAUGAGGAUGCCUCUUAAAUAAUGGUCUCCUAAACAAUUCUUCUGUAACUUUAGGCUAGUGCUGCCUUGAAACCUGAGGAGAGCUUUCAAGGCUGUCACCUGUGACAUCAUCACAGCUUCUAAAUCACUGGCCUCCUUGUUCACCUGAAGACACCUGCAUCUCACAAUCCUGAAGCAGACAGCAGGUUCAGACCCCAACAGCCUCUGAGAAGGGCAACUGAUGCUCCAAAAACCGGGGUGAAGGAUUGGCUAGGCUGCUUCUCUGCACCGAGGCACAGCUCAGACCCUGACCUUCUUUGCUGACACUGGCUAAGGGCACAGCCGAGGUUGGGACUUGGUUUGGCUUCUGUAAGCAGCUCUCCUGUGCAGACAGACUCAUGUAAGAAUCUGCAACUGUGAGGCCAUGACAGACUUCCAGCCUCUUCAGGAAACUGCAGACCCACUUCAUCCCUGCUCCUGGGGUGGCACAAACCAUGAGCUUCACAGUCUAGCAUGGGUUGGGAAAGGGCAGGGACAGUCUCUGCACCCAUUAGUUCUCAGAGAUAGGACAACCUGGGAGAGAUAAGAU
rnacentral:lncRNA from 1 species